rnacentral:lncRNA from 1 species
GUUUUUGUGGGAGAGUUAGGGACCUUCCAAAACCAUGAAGCUGUCACCUUCUUCCUUCCUUUGCCUAAUUUUUAAAUGAUCACAGGCUGCUCCAGCAACGAUGCGUGUCAAGAAUGUAUGGGGAGACUGGAAGAACAGACAUGAAGCUACUGCUAUGGUGAGGGAAAAGGAAAGAGAAAACAAAAGGAAAUUGGCUUUCAGUGCCUUGAAUGUGAAU